UAUCUUUACUUUGUGUUUCUUUUCUGGAAGGGGUAAGAGGAGAGGAAGAGGAGAUCAUGGGAAGAGGAGAUGAUGAAUGUGUAUGAAAGAAUGUGCUUCAUCUCUUUAGCCCCAGUAGGGGGCAGGCUAGCUGCUUUCAUUUUUAACCCUUUGAGAAUCAGAGCGGUUAUUUUAGUACAGUGUCAGUAACAUUUCAACAGUUUCUGCACUUUGCUCCCUGAGAGAGUGGCUCGUUGACAGCAGCAUGUGUGCCCUAUUCUGGUAGAAGAAUAUUUUUCCUUUCCCUUUAAAUCUGAUUUUUUUAACAGUUGUGUAUGAGUUUACAUUAUUUUAAACAAUAAAUGUUUAAAGUUUGAGUUCAAACACAGGGUGGAUCCCCAGUGCUUUCAGAACAAACAGAAGGGAGAAACACAGAUGAUCCAUCAGCUCUUGAAAUUCAAACAAACAUAAAAACCCUGGGCAGUAUGAGAGCACAGUCAUAUGGUGGGGAUGUAUACAAGAAGCUUUCACUACCGGUGUAGUACCCAUAAACAUGGGACAUCAGUCUCUAGAUUUGCCCUUCACCAGAAUUCAAUUAACCGCAACAGCCAAGCAAUUGCCCUGCCUCCUGGAGCAAGCUGUGAGGAUGAAUGUUCCGCAGCACCCACAACUGCACCGGACUAUUCAUCCGGGCCUCACUGGACUGCUAAACAUCUGCACAAUGACUUUUCUGCUGCCUCCUAGCUACACUCUCACUCUGACUCCCAGGAGUACGACAGUGUGCUCCCUGCCUGAGUUUAGAGCCCACUGUCAGCAGCCAAAGAUGCACCCCCAGCACGUGCCGCACAGUCUAAUCAUGGCAGGGGGUAACAUGGCACUGAAGUCACUGGGGUGCCAGGAUUACAUAAGUUUGAAUGUUCACUGUGCAUUAAGUACAGUGUAGCACAUGCCAGGGCUGUGCUUCUGAGUUCCACAGGAACCCUAUAAACCUUGACGUUUGUUUGUUUGUUCUAAGGCUUCUUUUGUCUCAGGGAGCCACUUACAGGCUGAAAUAACAUGAGAUCUGGAUCUCAUGACAUUUCCACCAUCAGCCUAAAGCCCAUGGAAAACAAAUACAAAUACUAGCCACCUAUCCUUCUGGUCCACAUAUCUAUUAGAGAUAUUCCUGUAGUUUUUGGUCCAGUAGCUAGAGACAGAACACAGAUGGACACUGCAGGCAGCACUGGAUGGGGGAACAACUGUGCUGCUGUCUCAGCCCCAUCUGCCCCCCACUGCACUCAGGGCAGCCCCAGGCCCCUCCAGGGCACCCCCCCAGCUUCACCAGCCAGAGCCCAGCCAAGGGCCCCUUUGCACCAAUGAUGGCCAGAGCCAGCUGCAGGGCGCUGCCAGAGAACACUGGAGCUGCCACCUAGUAGUGGCUGCUGCUGACCAGGCUGUGUGGCCAACCCGCCUCCUGCAUGACCCAACACUACGGCUGACUUUCCAAAAGGAAAAAAGUGAGGACAAGCUACAGGUAUGAAGGCUUGAGAAAAGAACCAUUUUACUUAUUAAUAAUGAUGAUCAUAGUUUCUCACAUCCAUAAAGUACUUUGGGAUUGUUUGGGGUGAAAGGGGCUAUAGAAAGAAAAAUCAUUAUCCCAGAGUUACCUUCCAAACAAAAAGAAAAUAUACAUUGCUAUGUACCUGCACAGAGCUGUUAUUGGGUCACUGCCAAAGCUACACUGAUGUCCUUUUAUGUCCCUCUUGUGGUGGAGAGGUAGUAGUGCAGCAUUUGCAAUGGUAGCUAGUUUAUUUACGUCAAAACCCAGCAUUUGCUCCAUUGCGCUUGUUAUUUUAUGUUUCUGUCUUCAGGAGUCUUGGAUAUCGAAAUUUCCCCAGUAUAUUUUGACACAUAAACUUGAGCCGAAUAAUGAAAGAUCAGGAAGUAUUCACUGCAGCCAAACUGUGCAGCAAACCUUACAAGAUUCCAACUGGAAGGAUGUAUUUUGUUAUAGGUUAAAAACAGUGAAUAAUUAAAAAUAAAUAUCAAGUUAACAAGAAAGAAAGGGAGAAAAAAAAGAGAUGCCUAAGCACACAAAUGAAAAUGACAGAGCAGAGAGAGAAAAGAUGAAGUGGUUAAAUGUGCAUGAUAAAUUAAUUUAUUACAUGGCCCUGCAAUUCCGUAAGUCAUUACAUCAUUCUUUGUCAUAUAAAUAUAACUAACACAAAUGGAGUAAGUGAGUGAGUGUGUGUGUGUACAUGAACAUGAGCACUAUAUAUAAAAAUAAGGGAAAACUGGCAGCACCAGAUCUCUAGUGGGAAUAUCACACACAUACUAAGAAGCAUAACAGAAAACAGCAUAAUUCUGGGGGUGAGGAGUGAGUACAAUUACAGAAAGAGGGGGACAGGGAGAAAGUGAGACAUCUGAUGGAAGAAGCUGUUCCAGAUUCUAGUUGCUGAAAUGAAUUGUUCAUCUUUCCUUGGUGUUAGUCCUGUCCAAAGUGGGAACAUUUCCAAAGCCAAACCCAGGAGAAAAAUUCAGAACCUUUAUUUAAAGAGAGGUGGAGAGGGGUUAUUUCUCUUCCUCAAAAAUUAUCUCAUCAGCAUGUGUUGCACAAUUUUUGUGACACGAAUGUAUUCUGCUCCAUACUAUGCACAUAUCUGAACAAUUACUGUUUCGAUGAAGAAGUGGGAGUGGGAAAGCAGCACUGUUGUUAAUAAUUAGAACAGACAAUGGUACCUUCUGUAGCAAUUUACCAUCCCUAACCUCCCCCUUCCUGAAGCUACUUCAACUGAUGUUGGAUGUUUUUGCUGAUAGCAUGUUGUUGCUAAGGGAUGUUGCUAGGCACCAUCACACACAUAAAUAUGCAUACUCCGUCUUUUGGAAGGGGCUGACUUCAAACAGGAAACUAGAGAGCUACAUGCCAAAAACUUUAUUUAUUUAUUUGUUUUACUUUUCUUUGCUCUUUAAAGGUUCAGAUAAAAGAGGAUCUCAGAAGUAGUAAAAAGACAGUAGGAGCCAUAAUUUAAGUGCAUCCCUAAAUUAUAAAUAGCUUGUUAAUAUAAUUGGUCUUCACAGCCUGAACUGCAGAUUGGAGCAGUCCAUACUAUCGAGGAUGAGAGUGAAAAACUGGAGAUGAAGUCCAAAAAUGAGGGAUGCAAGGAACAUAGCCACACGAGCAAAUUAAAAGAAUGUGAGGUUCAUAUCUUUGGCAUCAAUACCAUUUUCUAUAACUUCAGUUACACAGCUGAGCACUGUCCACCAAUAAUUUAUCAUUAGAAAAGUGAGAGACAACAGUUACUUCUGAUGGGAAAGAGAUAAACAUAGGGCUGAAAAGGAGAGUUGAAUGAUAUGGGCCAGUAUGAAAUUCAGUACUUUUGCAUUAACAAAACGAUACAUCUCAAAUGUUUCAAGGCAGCCCACAGCCGCACUUCCCCUCUGCAGCAGCUCUUUCUUUGAGAACUCCCCCUCAUAAAUAGAUGACGUCCCCGAUGAUCAUUCAGGUGGACAUGGACAUGUGCUUUGCAUGAUAAUUCUGUGGUCCCCUCACCCUGGGUUGUUUGCUUCCCAGAUAAAAUUGCUUGGAUUCUUUGGCUGUCAUUUCAAACAAGCAGUUUUGUUGUGAUUUUUCACAUUCGUGUCUAUUGGCUCUGAACAUUUCACGUCAUGGUGACACUUCCUGACACUGUCUCCACGGCUUGGAGUUUUCGGAGACCAAUCAGCUUCUUCCUUUUCAUAACAGCUUGUUUUCUCUGAAUGGGGGAUGUUAUCAAAUCCCAGCAUUCAUGUGUCUUGGGAGUGAAACGUGUCAAGGGAAAUCAUGUGGCAAAGCUGGCUAUUCUGAAAGUGGCUUGAAUUAUUUGCACUAACUAACAGAUGAACUGUUGUGUAUGUCACUUGUAUAGCUACAAUUAACAUAUACCUUUAUAAUCACCUGUUUGGGGUAGACAGUGGGGAACCAUAAACAAGUUAAACCAUUUUGCACACUGAAGCAUGCAAUUAGCAAACAUAAAACAUCCUUUACAAAAAGAAAUCCAUCCAUGUCUGCUUCCUGCACAGCUCCAUACUACUGAGCAUUGCAUAUAAAAAUUAGCUGAUAAUAAUGGUAAAGAAUAAUGACUUCUACAAAGAUUGUGCUCUAAUUUUCCAGAGCUUUACUUUCCUUAAUUUUAUAUUGGGUGUGUAGCAAUGAAAACUAAAAACUCAAUGAGUGGCCAUCAACCCUGCAUGAGCACAGAAUUAAAAAAUAAUCUUACUGUUAAUGGUGCAAUUGGUCAAAGUGUGGAUCUCAGGACAAAUGUAGCCAUGGAAACUCUGUGAUGCAGCCCAGACACAUGCUCAUCUUAAAUAUGGCAGUGCGGUCCAUAGAGACUACAGGUCCCAGCAUGAAUGCUCUAUGGUUUGGGCGUUAUUGUCAAACUGGUCUAUUGCUGAAAUCAUAACCUAUUGUCUUCACUGGCCACAUCUUCACAUUCACAAAAAUAGCAAGGGCAGUCACCUCUAUUUUACACAAUUCAGGUGUGGCCAUCAGACUCUUGGUUAAUUACCAGUCUGGUUUUGUUGACCCUUGCCUACACAUGUCAAAGUGAGCAAAAGGUACCCAAAUAACUGGCUCACUAUGGUUUACUCCCUGUUAUUUGGGCACUAGAGAGACUGACCUGACUUUGAAGGGGUGGGGGACUGGAGAACUUCUUUUGCAGCCCUCCCAUUUCAGCACCUUAGACAGCAGCCUGAUUUUGCAGGAGGACAUAGCCAACAUUGGUGCUCCAGUUCAGAAGCUGAACCAGCUGCAAAAUUCACCAUGGGCUCUCCUGUGCCAACAGUGUUGUUUACAUUUUCUAAAUGAUCCAUUAAGUCCAUGUUUCUCUUCCAUUUUAUGUAGGAUACGUGGAGGGGGGAAGAUCAAGACAUCCAUCAGCAAUGCUCCAAACCUUUGGAUCUGUUCCCAGAACUCAGACAUUGAUGAUGCCAUAAAACAGCAAAAGGAUGGAAGGUCAUUUUGGGUGAUGAAACCAAAUGAGCAGCCCACUUGACUUCCUAAUUUUCUUCUCCAGCAUUGCUACAACAAAUAGCUUUGAUGCUGAAGUAGGAUUUACUGUUCUUUCACAAUUGUGCUGUUGUAUGAGCUCUGGGAACAAACUGGGUGUUUGUGGAUGAACCAAUUCUGCUUAAUCCUACCCCCAUGCUUUAUAAGCCAGAAUUCUGAAGAAUUGCUUCCUGUUUCAGCUUCACCCUACUAUCACUCUUUAGGGAAUCACAAGAAAUUGAUCAUUCAACUAUCCUGUAACACUGGUGAGGUUGGUAUAUGUGUAAUACUUUGAAAAUUUUGGUGACUACAACUCGCUAUUUUUGGACAACUGAACUGAGCAUGAUCCUAAAUUGUACUGACCUUAGUCCAUGGAUCUGGAAGCCUGUAGUUGGUGUCAUUUUAAACUUUCCUGCUUCAGAAGUCACAGCUUCCCAAAAAAGAGGGCAAACAACUGGUGCCCAAAAUUAAAAGGAGGGUCUACAGAAAAAUUAAAGCAUUACUGGUUUGCAAAUAGGUUGCAAAAUCUUUCAAAACCUCUAGGUCACCAGGCGAAUCUGGCCUAGAUUGAUAAUAAGCUACUCAUAAUUGCUAUCAUCCAAUGGACUAUGGUUUUUAAUUUUGAUGGAUAAUAUCAAAGUUUAUUUUUAAACAUUUUUUUUCAAUUUUUAUCAAUUUACAUUUUCACAGUUGUGCAAAAUUAUGGGUUUUAAGCAUUUUUAUCUAUUUAAAUUUUCACAGUUUCAGGCAAUUAUGGGGGGGGUGUAACACAAUAAUUACUUCAUGAUGGUAAAUGUGGAGAUUUUAACAGUUAAAGGUUUAUAAUGGUUAAAACACAAAUUUCAACAUGUUAUAUCAAAAUAUACAAAGUAAAUAUCCUUAGAUCCAACUCUAAUAAGUUCUCAAGCAGCAUUUCUCUUACUUUGCUUAUAUGUAAAUUUUUAUUAUUGAUGGAAAUAUUUUUUGGCGGUGUGUGUGGUGAAAUUGACGUUUACCAACAUUUACUGAUAAAACACUAAUCCUUCCAAAUUUACCACUGUAAAAGGAGUUGUUGGUCUUGUGUUCCUAGUGGAAUAGUUUCUAUACUGUAAAACCACUGACACAAUUAUUCCCUUUAUUGGCUAUCUCAGAAGAAAAGACAAUGCUCUCAGUUUUAAAUGGGUUCCCUCCAGAACACAGCUGAGGUAUAUUACAGGGGAACAUUAUGGGAGAAGCUUGCAUGGCAACUACCCAGGCCAUGCCUGUUGUGGAUAAACAGGGUUUAAGUUUUCAGUGCUGUUUGGACUGUUGCCAUUCACCAGAAUAAAAUUUAUGAUUUUUCUUUCACAAAGGGGUUCCAUGUGAUGGGCAAACUCCUUGGGAUAAGCCUAGACUUUGAAUCAGAGAGAGUAUGAUUUUUACUUUCAGCUCUAAAUUGGCUGAGAAAUGUUUCUGUUAGCUUUGUUUACCCACUUGUCAACAGCCUCCACUAUCUCCAGGCCUAUAUAUACCCACUAUUACCCAUGUGUCUUCACAAGCACUUCUUUCAUGAAAAUCCAUGGAAGCCUAUGAAUGUCCAGAGCUUCAUGACUGAAAUGGGGCCCACGUCUACAGGAGUCUCAGACCCAGAUAAUUGUCUCUCUGCUGUUCCUGAUGCAUAGAUCAAGCCUGAUUUAUUCCUCCUCUCUGUAGAAUGGGAAAGUUGUAAACUACAGAGAGGUACUGUAAGUCUCUGGCAGUUCCCUUUCCCAAUAACUCUCCUGUCAUAGCACACAGAACAGAAAGUACCUUGAAAGUCCCAGGUCAUGAAAACCUGAUGAUGUCAUUUUAACAUCCUUCUCCAUGGAAGACUAGAAAUAGUGAGGCUAUUAAAACAAGGGAAGCUGUCUUUGAGACUUGAAGGAUGGAAAAUAACUCUACUCCUGAUUUUAUACUUUAUACACAAACACUUGGCACUUGAGUCUACGUGUGCUGGGUUACUGUUGAA